GGUAACACUUCACACACGACAAACUCUCUCUUGCGCUUGGUUCUCUCUGCCCCCCAAUUACACUGAAACGAGUCUCCCGAUUCAGACGGGAGAUAAGUAUCUGAAGUCUGAUGGCAGACCCCGCCUGAGUCUGGCCUAAAUUGGAAGCACUCUGGAUGAGAGCAUGCUCUGAAUGGCGGUAUCCGGCGGUCGGAACAGGAAAACCUCUAAUAUCACAGGCGUGCGUGAGGCAGAACGUUAGACGGAGAAGGGGUAAAGGGUAAGAGGAGCGCAUGGAGCCCACUGGAGGGGGUUUCGAGGCGCAGGCUGGACGCGGAGCAGGGGUUGGAUGGCGGGGCCCAGUGAACGUGACCAAUGGGCCGUCCACAGACACAGAGAUAGAGGAGAAAGACAUGCCUGUCCUCAGAAAAUGGUGGUGCACAGUACUGCUUGAGAACUUCCACCUGGAUGGGCCCGGCAGAAGGUUCCCACACUUCAUGGAGGAGGCCAAACAAAUGGCGGCUGAACUACUUCCACCAGUCUUCAGACUGAAGCGAAAAAGAGAAUGAGUUGGAGCUGAUGGCAGUCAGCAUGAAGAAGCUAUAUCUUUAAGCUUCUGUAGAUUAUUUGUUAAAUAAAUUGUGAG
ensembl:lncRNA